rnacentral:rRNA from 1 species
AACGAACGCUGGCGGCACGCCCAACACAUGCAAGUCGAACGAAGCAUAAGAGCUUGCUCUUAUGACUGAGUGGCGCACGGGUGAGUAACACGUGGGAAUCUGCCUAUUGGUGGGGAAUAACUUUUGGAAACGAAAGCUAAUACCGCAUAAGCCCUAAGGGGGAAAGAUUUAUCGCCAAUAGAUGAGCCCGCGCUAGAUUAGCUAGUUGGUGAGGUAAGAGCUCACCAAGGCUACGAUCUAUAGCUGGUCUGAGAGGAUGGUCAGCCACACUGGGACUGAGACACGGCCCAGACUCCUACGGGAGGCAGCAGUGGGGAAUAUUGGACAAUGGGGGAAACCCUGAUCCAGCGAUGCCGCGUGAGUGAAGAAGGCCUUCGGGUUGUAAAGCUCUCUCAGAGAGGAUGAUAAUGACGGUACCCUCAGAAGAAGCACCGGCUAACUUCGUGCCAGCCGCCGCAGUAA